UCCGGGGGGCAUGCCCGUUCGAGCGUCAUUAACACCACUCAAGCCUGGCUUGGUAUUGGGCGUCGCGUCCGGCGCGCGCCUUCAUGUCGUCGGCCGAGCCGUCCGUCUCUAAGCGUUGUGGUCAUUCAUCCGCUUGCGAGUCGGUCGGGUCUGCGCCGUUAAACCCUUUAUCAAAGGUUGACCUCGGAUCGGGUAGGGAUACCCGCUGAACUUAAGCAUAUCAAUAAGCGGAGGAAAAGAAACCAACAGGGAUUGCCUCAGUAACGGCGAGUGAAGCGGCAACAGCUCAAAUUUGAAAUCUGGCGCAAGCCCGAGUUGUAAUUUGUAGAGGAUGCUUCUGGGUCGCGGCCGGUCUAAGUUCCUUGGAACAGGACGUCACAGAGGGUGAGAAUCCCGUAUGUGAUCGGCUUGCACCCUCCACGUAGCUCCUUCGACGAGUCGAGUUGUUUGGGAAUGCAGCUCUAAAUGGGAGGUAAAUGUCUUCUAAAGCUAAAUACCGGCCAGAGACCGAUAGCGCACAAGUAGAGUGAUCGAAAGAUGAAAAGCACUUUGGAAAGAGAGUUAAAAAGCACGUGAAAUUGUUGAAAGGGAAGCGCAUGCAACCAGACUUGUCGGCGGUGUUCCGCCGGUCUUCUGACCGGUCUACUCGCCGCCGACAGGCCAGCAUCGUCUGGGCGCGCCGGAGAAAGGCGCCGGGAAUGUAGCUCCUCGGAGUGUUAUAGCCCGGCGCACAAUACGGCGCCGCCCGGGCGAGGUCCGCGCUCGG
rnacentral:rRNA from 1 species